GCCAGCUGGACUGUGUGAUUUUUGUUCUUUAGUAGAAGGAUAACAUGACAUAGCAGGAAUAAUACUGCCUUUUCUUUCUGGCAUGGAUCAAGAGAAAAGAAAAUACAAGAAAACAGACAGAAGGCAAGGUACUUCUAUGGAAGGGUGAGCCCUCACAGAUGGAGCAAUGGGGCGCGCACACCUGAACAAGGGAGGGGAAGGAGUUCUUAUCCCUGAUGCAUGUGACCCCUGCUGCUGUGUCCUUCCCCUAUUGGCUAAGGCUUCUGACAGCUUUGGAGAUUGUGACAUUGGAAUAAAGGAAAAACGUACAGGACUCAUGAAGCGCUGAAAUGUUCACAAAUAUCAAGCAAAUCAAUGAAAUUUAUUUUGAGCUAUUUACAUCAUUUAAUAAUUGAGCAAGGUAUACUCCUAUGAACAAAAUUUGGAGCAUGUUUGUCUCUCUCUGCCUGGCGUCUUCAGAAUUUGGAAACUAGUUAGUCAUGGAAAUUUAUUUUGAGCUAUUUACAGCAUUUAAUAAUUGAGCAAGGUAUACUCCUAUGAACAAAAUUUGGAGCAUGUUUGUCUCUCUCUGUCUGCCUGGCAUCUACAGAAUUUGGAAACUAGUUUCGUUCCCAGAUUUCCUAAACUUUCCAGAGAAAAUGGUCUUCUCCCUGGCUCAGCAAGAAGAUGAACUUUAAACACUGAGAAACUGGUCAUCUCCCUGGCUCAACCAGAAGAUGAACUUUAAACACUACUCUCAAUGACUUGAUGUUCCCAUCACUACUCCUGUCAUAAAGGGAGGGGACUCAGAUAUUGAGAAUUUUAUGAUAGUGUGAACUGUCUGGUAUGUCAUUUAAGUAAGCCCGUUGCUGAAAUAUUUUCCAUGUUAUUAGAAAGAGCUGAAGAGAGGGAUUGAGAUGGCUUCUUUAUUUUUUGUCUUUUGGGAAUUAAAGGAACCUGGUUCAACAAGGGCCUACACCUAAGUCUCUUGUUGUACCAGAGUACAAUUUAGGACUGCUCCUGAGGAAGGAAUUAGCUAGAAAUCUAGAGAGUAAGGGUAACAGAUUUACAUAGAAUAACAGCCUCAGUAUUUUUGGUUCCUCUCCAGUAAAGAUCACAAAGAAUAUUGCUAAAUCGCUAAAACACCUUUGCAAUAACGUAAGGGCUUACAACUAUAUACCAAUGUAGCUCAGUUACUAAACUGGAGUAAACUAAUU
rnacentral:lncRNA from 10 species